ACUAGUUCUUCUUUCUUAACAACUCAGAAAGUCUUGAAAGCUUCACCACCGCCAUAAUUUCAUCUUCCUUACUAGUUUCCCCAUUAGAACGAAACGACUCCACUUACUACCUAUGCAUUGAACCACCAGCAGCACUUUGUCAUCUUACUCAGGUUUCUCAAAGCGACAUUUCGCCCAAAAUUCUUGAAAAGUGAACACGUCAGAGAAACAUGUAUAAUUUUACUUGUAUUGGGUUUCAUGGUGACUCUUGCUUACAUAAACCAGCCCUAAAUACGAGUCCUUCUAUAUGUACUUGCGUAAGAGCGGAGCAAGAAACAUGCUCAAGUAACAUGAACCUCCGCAGGAUGGAUGGACAAAGUAAAGCACGGCUUAUUUAAAUGUCACUUGCAAUUCCGGGGACACUGAGCAAGAUCGAGUUGACAGUCAGUGGCACGUAGACGCGAGACGUUAAGCCAAUUUCAGCAAAGAGAGAAUUGGAUUAUAAAGAAAGAAAACGUGUUAGGUUAGCAAUUUACUACUGAAAGUCAAAUUAAGCACCAACUCUUUGCUUACACACACAUCAAAGUUAUUGAGUUGAUGACAUUGUUUUAGUUCUUUAGCUCUUUAAUGAUUGAUGCAUGGAAUUCACUAAGUUGAAUUACGACGUUUUUUUGUAUAACCAAUCGUCAGUUUACGCAGUUAAUCAACAGCACAUUCAUUCCUUCUUUCAAUCCGAAAUAUUUCUUACUUACGAAAGAGUUGCCUAGUUAACGUGUCAAAUAACUCAUUUAUUUAGCUGCUGAAUAGAUUCCAAUUAACUACAAUAAUAAUAAAAUGCUCCAAAGAAUGGUACUGUACUGGGUUUGAUCUCAGAAAGAAAUUGGAGAACACAUCACAAUUUGUGUAUAAAAACCAAUAUCGAAUAUAUUUUUGUAGCUAGGGUCGAAAAUAUCGACCACGCAAGGGACAAUAAAGAAAUGUAUGCAUAAUUCUUGCUGCAAACUUAUUAAACAAGGAUCAUGCUUUAAAAUUAA